GGAACAACGUUUCCCGUACGAUCACCGAAGUUAAGCAAUGUCGAUCCUGGUCAGUACCUCGAUGGGUGGCCGCUUGGGAAUACCCAGAGUUGUAGU